UAAAACUCUGUUGUUAGGGAAGAACAAGUGCUAGUUGAAUAAGCUGGCACCUUGACGGUACCUAACCAGAAAGCCACGGCUAACUACGUGCCAGCAGCCGCGGUAAUACGUAGGUGGCAAGCGUUAUCCGGAAUUAUUGGGCGUAAAGCGCGCGCAGGUGGUUUCUUAAGUCUGAUGUGAAAGCCCACGGCUCAACCGUGGAGGGUCAUUGGAAACUGGGAGACUUGAGUGCAGAAGAGGAAAGUGGAAUUCCAUGUGUAUCGGUGAAAUGCGUAGAGAUAUGGAGGAACACCAGUGGCGAAGGCGACUUUCUGGUCUGUAACUGACACUGAGGCGCGAAAGCGUGGGGAGCAAACASGAUUAGAUACCCUGGUAGUCCACGCCGUAAACGAUGARUGCUAAGUGUUAGAGGGUUUCCGCCCCUUAGUGGUGAAGUUAACGCCUUAAGCACUCCGCCUGGGGAGUACGGCCGCAAGGCUGAAACUCAAAGGAAUUGACGGGGGCCCGCACCAGCGGUGGAGCAUGUGGUUUAAUUUGAAGCAACGGGAAGAACCUUACCAGGUCUUGACAUCCUUUGACAACCCUAAAGAUAGGGCUUUUCCUUUGGGAGCAGAAUGACAGGUGGUGCAUGGUUGUUGUCAGCUCGUGUUGUGAGAUGUUGGGUUAAGUCCCGCAACGAGCGCAACCCUUGAUUUUAGUUGCCAUCAUUUAGUUGGGCACUUUAAGGUGACCGCCGGUGACAAACCGGAGGAAGGUGGGGAUGACGUCAAAUCAUCAUGCCCCUUAUGACCUGGGCUACACACGUGGUACAAUGGGCGGUACAAAGAGGUGCAAGACCGCGAGGGGGAGCUAAUUUCAUAAAACCGUUUUCAGUUUGGAUUGUAGGGUGCAACUUGCCUACAUGAAGCCGGAAUCGCUUGUAAUCGCGGAUCAGCCUGCCGCGGUGAAUACGUUCCCGGGCCUUGUACACACCGCCCGUCACACCCCGAGAGUUUGUAACACCCGAAGUCGGUGGG
rnacentral:rRNA from 1 species